GGUAAUCGUAAAUCUAAAAUUUUGCAAGGAGAGCCAACUCUAGAUAUUUUAGGAGCAAUAUAAUGAUUUUCCUGCAUUUUCAAAUACAGAAGUAGUGACCACGAUAUGGAGUGCGCCUCCUCUACUCUUUCGUUUAAGAUUCUGGCUAAUCAGUUGAUGAGUCUGCAGUCGACGACGGAGAUCAAUCAGCAACUUCUACAGGACGUCAUAUCCGCAAGAACUGCUAAUGCGAGCAACAUAGGCGGCCUUUCUUCUCACUUCUCAUCCACCAAUAUUUCCGUCGACAGUGACGCUGUUAGCAGUGCGCCUGAAGAAUGAUGAUUAGAACUAUUUUGGCCACGUGCACAAAAACUGAUGAAUCGAAUCCUGUAAUGUAAUAAUUUUCUUCAUGAUCUGAUACCGUAUUCUAUGCAUGAGAUCGAAAAGCAGGCUGGAUGUGUUCGUUUAUGAUGAUAUUGGUUAUUGAUGAAGUUUUAAUUAUAGAAAGAGAAGAACAUUUAAUU